rnacentral:rRNA from 1 species
UUCGCAAUGCCCGAAAGGGUGACGGAGCGACGCCGCGUGUAGGAUGAAGUCCUUCGGGAUGUAAACUACUGUCAGGGGAAAGAAAGUACUGAUCUACCCCAGAGGAAGGCACGGCUAACUCUGUGCCAGCAGCCGCGGUAAGACAGAGGUGCCAAGCGUUAGGCGGAAUCACUGGGCUUAAAGCGUGUGUAGGCGGAUGCCUAAGUGCCUUGUGAAAUCCCCCGGCUCAACCGGGGAACUGGCGUGGAUACGGCUCGCCUGGAGGGGCGUAGGGGGACCUGGAACUUCCGGUGGAGCGGUGAAAUGCGUUGAGAUCGGAAGGAACGCCCGUGGCGAAAGCGAGGUCCUGGACGCCUACUGACGCUGAGACGCGAAAGCCAGGGGAGCGAACGGGAUUAGAUACCCCGGUAGUCCUAGCCCUAAACGAUGGGCACUAAGUAGAGGGGUUUU